rnacentral:siRNA from 1 species
GUGGCAGCCAUUGUAAAUAAGUCU